rnacentral:rRNA from 1 species
CAAACCCAAUUACACCCCUAACCCCUAUAACCACUUAACCCUUAGGAUUCUGUAUUAUUGGUUUUAGGUUGGGGCGACCACGGAGUACAACAAAACCUCCACAAUGAACGGAACUACUUCCUCAUCUGAGAGCUACACCUCUAAGAAUUAAAAUAUUAACAUAAAAUGAUCCAUUUUUGAUCAAUGAACCAAGUUACCCUGGGGAUAACAGCGCAAUCCAUUUCAAGAGCCCCUAUCGACAAAUGGGUUUA